rnacentral:misc_RNA from 1 species
UAGAGAUGAGAGUGAUACCACUCUA